GAGAGAAGUUCUCCCAUGAAGAGGAGCAAAUAAUUCUUUAUCUCCACUUGGUACUUGUUCACUUCUUUCAACUUUGGACGACCCAUUCCCAAUCAAGGUCAAUAUCUUUGGCAGAUGCGUUGAAUGUGAACUAAUGUUCUUUGUCAAACGAUUGUGCUGUUCCUAAAACAAAGCCCUUGGUAGGCAUCGUGGUUACAUCUUCUCCAGCCUUUUGCACAACUUCGCCUUUCUUAACCCUAUAUGUAGAAGGAGCGUCUAACAACAGUGAAAAUUCAGGAAAUGAGUGAGAAGGUAGGAUUUCUUAGGCGGCUAAAAACGGUGAGCCAUACUCUUUUCCUACCAGUUUCCGUUACUGCUUAAUAAUUAAUACGUAUAUCAUUGACCCAAAUGGUCAAAUAUUUGGUCAUUGUUUAAACAAACGCUAGAGGAGGAUUGUGCAUAAAUAGAUCGAUCCUUGAUGAAUGGUUACACACACAGUUCAUUUGUUAGUCAUUCACUUUCAAUAAUGGCCUCGUUCUUAAAAGAUGGAAGACUUGCCUUGGCUCUUAUCAUCUUCAUCGUCAUUACUUCGUCAUCUCACAUCAUGACAAUCGCCAUUGCAGCUCGAACACCAUACCACCAUAUCCGCCAACUAGCUACGGAUUGCAAUUCCCCGAUACAACAAGAUAUACCCGGGUGUGGUAGUGGAGGUGGAAGUGGUGUUCCAGUACCGCCGAAACGACAACCAUGUGGUUCGACACCAAGUUCGAGACUUUGUAAGAAGGGAUGCUGUGGACUGAAUAAAAUGGGAGAUACCAUAUGUUGCUAAGCAGUAUUGGAGGUUGUUCCACAUCAAAUAAUUAAAGAUCCGAAAAUAAGAUUUAAAACCAUUUCCUUUUUUUUCUACUUGUUUUGAUUGAAAAUGAUCUAUAUGUAUGAGUAUGGGCGCAUAAAUUUUAGUCUCAUACAAUAAUGGUUCUUGUAAUUGGUAAAAUGUGGUAUUUCCGGUCCA